AAGAAGAGACUCCUGCUGCAGCUGCGUAGCCUCAGGCUGACAGAAACAUUACUCAGCAGGAAUGUACCACUUUAAUAAAGUGCAGCGGGACAGCGGACACUCUGCCCGUCGGCAGGUCUGGCUGCUCGUGGGCCUCGAGCGCUGGGAGCAGCCGCUCUGGUGUGAACGUCGGCGCUCGCCGUUGUGACAGAAGACGUCUCUGCGCUGGACUCCGUCUCCACAUGAAGCCGAACACUGAGAGGACACAGAGACGCCGCAGAUGAUGAUGAAGAUGAUGAUGAUGAUCGCACAUGAUGAUCACGGGGCUGAUGGAAUGAGGAAUCAGCCGAGGGCCCCUUCCCGGAUCAAACAUGACCCUUGACCCACACAGACUCCUCUGCAUUGUCUGGCCGAGGCUCCUCCCUCUCUAUAGAAUCACCGAGCGACCCAGUGCUGGUAUGCCGUCACCAGCGGAGAGACCGCAUGGCAAAAUAAAAAGGGCAGCUUCGCAACUUCACAGACGAACACGCGUCACAAUGGGUGAAAUAUCCCAGGGCGCGUAUUUACCUUCGGGGGAAGGAGCUUUGAACUUGCGACACAGACGGUAAAGGGGCGGAGUCACAGCACAGAGGUCAGCAGAGGCCCUGACUGCUAAAAAUAACAGAGGUCACUCACGGUGUGGAGGAAUGUUUCAGAAGCUUUUCCAUUUUUGUUUGGACUAAACAAUAAAGGCACAUUUUGUUCUCGACAAAGCCAGCGUUUCCAAUGUUUUUGGGGCAUCAUUUUGCAUUUUAUUCAACAAUUUAUUAGAGCUUUGAAACAAGACGCGGCAUGAACACAUGAGUUAAUACUGAAAUAUAAACUCCUACGCUCUCAUGCAGUCAUUCCAGGAGGAGAUUUUUGACUCGACAGAUAAAUUCAAUAUUAAUGUGAAUAUGUUUUAAUUGUUUUCUUAAUAAAACUGUGUAAAAUAAGGUUGUUUUGAAUUACCAAACACACCUAGGAACAAAUAGGUUUGACAGAAAUGGCAGUAAAAUCACCAAAAAACAUUAAAUCCCCUAAAUAAAUU